CCCUCACUUUUCCCUUUCAAACUACAAAAUCAGCCUCUGUGUGCACGUUCAGUCUUCACUGUUCCCUUACACUCUACAAAAUCAGCCUCUGUGUGCAAGUUCCGUCCUCACUGUUUCCUUACACUCUACAGGUUCAGCCUGUGUGUGCACGUUCCGUCCUCACUGUUCCCUUACACUCUACAGGUUCAGCCUGUGUGUGCACGUUCCGUCCUCACUGUUCCCUUACACUCUACAGAUUCAGCCUCUGUGUGCAUGUUCAGUCCUCACUGUUCCCUUACACUCUACAGGUUCAGCCUGUGUGUGCACGUUCCGUCCUCACUGCUACCUUACACUCUACA